AGAUGUGAGGGUGAUCUGGUUGCAACAUCUGUCAACCCACUGAUCGCCAGGGUUGAUUCGAUUGAUGGCUGCCUAGGUGGGUGUCCCCUUUCUUUCUCAACACUCCAUUUGCAUCCCUCCUGAAGCUGUGUGGUCAGUCAAAGAGGAGGACCACCCCUGAUAGAGGAGGGAUGUUCCUUGGUCAAGGUUAUACCAGUAGCUGCGCUCCACUGUUAGAACCUCCAAAUAAGCUCUCAAGGGCCAAAAGAAUUGUGUUAAAUGAAAAAAGCUAAACACAAAAGGUUACAUCUUGUAUGGUUUCAUUU
rnacentral:snRNA from 1 species